UCUCAAUAGAAAGGUGGGGAGCUGCUGGGGAAAUUACCCCAUUUAUCCCUGUGUUUAUCCCUCUCGUAACUUCUCCCAAAAAGGAGGAGCUCUCAGGCCUGGGUGGGGGCCCCGGGUGGACGAGGGGGUCGUUCAACCUGUGUGCUUCGAAGGAUGAGACUUCCUCUUGAACAGUGUGCUGUUGUAAACAUAUUUGAAAACUAUUACCAAUAAAGUUUUGUUUU
rnacentral:lncRNA from 1 species